rnacentral:misc_RNA from 1 species
GUAGGUGAACCUGCGGAAGGAUCAUUACCGAGUUAGGGUGCUUAACCGGCGCCCGACCUCCAACCCUUUGUCUACCCGACCCUAUGUUGCUUCGGCAGGCCCGCGUCCCCUUUCGGGGGAGGCCGCCGGGGGUCCUUGUGACCCCGGGCCCGCGCCUGUCGAUGGCCCUUCUUAAACUAUUUGUUAAAACGUGUCGUCUGAGUUAUUUAAACAAAUGAAAUUAAAACUUUCAACAACGGAUCUCUUGGUU